rfam:Felis catus isolate Cinnamon breed Abyssinian chromosome F1, whole genome shotgun sequence.
GCCCGGGUGGCUCAGUGGGUUAAGCGUCCGACUUCAGCUCGGUUCAUGAUCUCACGGUUCACGGGUUCGAGCCCCGCGUCGGGCU